rnacentral:rRNA from 1 species
UGGCACCAGGAACCGAUGAAGGACGUGGGAGGCCACGAUAGUCCCCGGGGAGCCGUCAACCAGGCUUUGAUCCGGGGGUUUCCGAAUGGGGAAACCCGGCAGUCGUCAUGGGCUGUCACCCAUGCCUGAACACAUAGGGCAUGUGGAGGGAACGAGGGGAAGUGAAACAUCUCAGUACCCUCAGGAAGAGAAAACAACCGUGAUUCCGGGAGUAGUGGCGAGCGAAACCGGAUGAGGCCAAACCGUAUGCGUGUGAUACCCGGCAGGGGUUGCGCAUGCGGGGUUGUGGGAUCUCUCUUUCACAGUCUGCCGGCUGUGAGACGAGUCAGAAACCGUUGAUGUAGGCGAAGGACAUGCGAAAGGUCCGGCGUAGAGGGUAAGACCCCCGUAGCUGAAACAUUGACGGCUCGUUUGAGAGACACCCAAGUAGCACGGGGCCCGAGAAAUCCCGUGUGAAUCUGGCGGGACCACCCGCUAAGCCUAAAUAUUCCCUGGUGACCGAUAGCGGAUAGUACCGUGAGGGAAUGGUGAAAAGUACCGCGGGAGCGGAGUGAAAUAGUACCUGAAACCGUGUGCCUACAAGCCGUGGGAGCGUCGCUCAUUGAGUUUACUCAAUGGGUCGUGACUGCGUGCCUUUUGAAGAAUGAGCCUGCGAGUUUGCGGUGCGUUGCGAGGUUAACCCGUGUGGGGAAGCCGUAGCGAAAGCGAGUCCGAACAGGGCGAUUCAGUAGCGCGCUCAAGACCCGAAGCGGAGUGAUCUAGCCAUGGGCAGGUUGAAGCGGAGGUAAGACUUCGUGGAGGACCGAACCCACCAGGGUUGAAAACCUGGGGGAUGACCUGUGGUUAGGGGUGAAAGGCCAAUCAAACUCCGUGAUAGCUGGUUCUCCCCGAAAUGCAUUUAGGUGCAGCGUCGUGUGGUCGUGACUGCGUGCCUUUUGAAGAAUGAGCCUGCGAGUUUGCGGUGCGUUGCGAGGUUAACCCGUGUGGGGAAGCCGUAGCGAAAGCGAGUCCGAACAGGGCGAUUCAGUAGCGCGCUCAAGACCCGAAGCGGAGUGAUCUAGCCAUGGGCAGGUUGAAGCGGAGGUAAGACUUCGUGGAGGACCGAACCCACCAGGGUUGAAAACCUGGGGGAUGACCUGUGGUUAGGGGUGAAAGGCCAAUCAAACUCCGUGAUAGCUGGUUCUCCCCGAAAUGCAUUUAGGUGCAGCGUCGUGUGUUUCUUGCCGGAGGUAGAGCACUGGAUAGGCGAUGGGCCCUACCGGGUUACUGACCUUAGCCAAACUCCGAAUGCCGGUAAGUGAGAGCACGGCAGUGAGACUGUGGGGGAUAAGCUCCAUGGUCGAGAGGGAAACAGCCCAGAGCAUCGACUAAGGCCCCUAAGCGUACGCUAAGUGGGAAAGGAUGUGGAGUCGCAGAGACAACCAGGAGGUUGGCUUAGAAGCAGCCACCCUUGAAAGAGUGCGUAAUAGCUCACUGGUCAAGUGAUUCCGCGCCGACAAUGUAGCGGGGCUCAAGCGUACCGCCGAAGUCGUGUCAUUGCAGCGUAUAGCCCCAACGGGUGUUGUGAUGGGUAGGGGAGCGUCGUGUGCCGGGUGAAGCAGCCGCGGAAGCGAGUUGUGGACGGUUCACGAGUGAGAAUGCAGGCAUGAGUAGCGAUACACACGUGAGAAACGUGUGCGCCGAUUGACUAAGGGUUCCUGGGUCAAGCUGAUCUGCCCAGGGUAAGUCGGGACCUAAGGCGAGGCCGACAGGCGUAGUCGAUGGACAACCGGUUGAUAUUCCGGUACCCGCUUUGAAACGCCCAAUAUCGAAUCCAUUAAUGCUAAGGCCGUGAAGCCGUUCCGGACCCUUCGGGGAAAGGAAAGUGGUGGAGCCGUCGAUCCAAGGUGGUAGUAGGUAAGCGAUGGGGUGACGCAGGAAGGUAGUCCAGCCCGGGCGGUGGUAGUCCCGGGGUAAGGGUGUAGGMCGUSWSRUAGGCAAAUCCGUCACACAUUAAGKCUGAGACCUGAUGCCGAGCCGAUUGUGGUGAAGUGGAUGAUCCUAUGCUGUCGAGAAAAGCCUCUAGCGAGUUUCAUGGCGGCCCGUACCCUAAACCGACUCAGGUGGUCAGGUAGAGAAUACCGAGGCGUUCGGGUGAACUAUGGUUAAGGAACUCGGCAAAAUGCCCCCGUAACUUCGGGAGAAGGGGGGCCAUCACUGGUGAUCGGAUUUACUCCGUGAGCUGGGGGUGGCCGCAGAGACCAGCGAGAAGCGACUGUUUACUAAAAACACAGGUCCGUGCGAAGCCGUAAGGCGAUGUAUACGGACUGACGCCUGCCCGGUGCUGGAACGUUAAGGGGACCGGUUAGCUCUGUUUCGACAGGGCGAAGCUGAGAACUUAAGCGCCAGUAAACGGCGGUGGUAACUAUAACCAUCCUAAGGUAGCGAAAUUCCUUGUCGGGUAAGUUCCGACCUGCACGAAUGGCGUAACGACUUCUCGACUGUCUCAACCAUAGGCCCGGUGAAAUUGCACUACGAGUAAAGAUGCUCGUUUCGCGCAGCAGGACGGAAAGACCCCGGGACCUUUACUACAGUUUGAUAUUGGUGUUCGGUUCGGCUUGUGUAGGAUAGGUGGGAGACUUUGAAGCAGCCACGCCAGUGGUUGUGGAGUCGCCGUUGAAAUACCACUCUGGUCGUGCUGGAUGUCUAACCUCGGUCCGUGAUCCGGAUCAGGGACAGUGUCUGAUGGGUAGUUUAACUGGGGCGGUUGCCUCCCAAAGGGUAACGGAGGCGCCCAAAGGUUCCCUCAGCCUGGUUGGCAAUCAGGUGUUGAGUGUAAGUGCACAAGGGAGCUUGACUGUGAGACCGACGGGUCGAGCAGGGACGAAAGUCGGGACUAGUGAUCCGGCGGUGGCUUGUGGAAGCGCCGUCGCUCAACGGAUAAAAGGUACCCCGGGGAUAACAGGCUGAUCUUCCCCAAGAGUCCAUAUCGACGGGAUGGUUUGGCACCUCGAUGUCGGCUCGUCGCAUCCUGGGGCUGGAGUCGGUCCCAAGGGUUGGGCUGUUCGCCCAUUAAAGCGGUACGCGAGCUGGGUUUAGAACGUCGUGAGACAGUUCGGUCCCUAUCCGCUGCGCGCGUAGGAAUAUUGAGAAGGGCUGUCCCUAGUACGAGAGGACCGGGACGGACGAACCUCUGGUGUGCCAGUUGUCCUGCCAAGGGCAUGGCUGGUUGGCUACGUUCGGGAGGGAUAACCGCUGAAAGCAUCUAAGCGGGAAGCCUGCUUCGAGAUGAGUAUUCCCACCUCCUUGAGAGGGUAAGGCUCCCAGUAGACGACUGGGUUGAUAGGCCGGAUGUGGAAGCCCAGUAAUGGGUGGAGCUGACCGGUACUAAUAGGCCGAGGGCUUGUCCUCAGUUG